GCUCCAAUAGCGUAUAUUUAAGUUGUUGCAGUUAAAAAGCUCGUAGUUGGACCUUGGGUUGGGUCGAUCGGUCCGCCUCCGGUGUGCACCGGUCGCUCGUCCUUCUGCCGGCGAUGCGCUCCUGGCCUUAAUUGGUCGGGUCGUGCCUCCGGCGCUGUUACUUUGAAGAAAUUAGAGUGCUCAAAGCAAGCCUACGCUCU
rnacentral:rRNA from 1 species